rnacentral:lncRNA from 1 species
UCCAAAAAUAAUUACUCAAUCAAAUUGAGUUAAUUAGUGAUCAAAUCACUAAUUAAAUCUCUCAUAAAUAUUGAAUCUAAAUUCGAUGGGCAAUCGGGUAUCAGAAUUCAUCGAUAUGUAACCCUGAUCGAAAAGUCCCAACCAGUGGGACUCUUGACCCCGGUACCCAUAAUGUGUGGAACUCAUGAUCAGAGAAUCCUGAUUCUCGAUCACUGAGUCUCAAACAUGAAGAAUUCUACACCAGCCAUC